GAUGAACGCUGGCGGCGUGCCUAAUACAUGCAAGUCGAGCGAACAGACGAGGAGCUUGCUCCUCUGACGUUAGCGGCGGACGGGUGAGUAACACGUGGAUAACCUACCUAUAAGACUGGGAUAACUUCGGGAAACCGGAGCUAAUACCGGAUAAUAUAUUGAACCGCAUGGUUCAAUAGUGGAAGACGGUUUUGCUGUCACUUAUAGAUGGAUCCGCGCCGCAUUAGCUAGUUGGUAAGGUAACGGCUUACCAAGGCAACGAUGCGUAGCCGACCUGAGAGGGUGACCGGCCACACUGGAACUGAGACACGGUCCAGACUCCUACGGGAGGCAGCAGUAGGGAAUCUUCCGCAAUGGGCGAAAGCCUGACGGAGCAACGCCGCGUGAGUGAUGAAGGUCUUCGGAUCGUAAAACUCUGUUAUUAGGGAAGAACAAAUGUGUAAGUAACUAUGCACGUCUUGACGGUACCUAAUCAGAAAGCCACGGCUAACUACGUG
rnacentral:rRNA from 1 species